UGGUGUGGUGAAAAUGGUAAGGUGAAUGUGGUAAAAAAGGAAAAGAAAAAGGAUACACGGACGACUUGGUUCGAAACUAGCACAGCUACCGUUCCCCGGCAACGGCGCCAGAAAGCUUGUUGGGUAUUUUAAACGCAAAUAGAAAAAUCCGCAAGCGCACGGAUACCGAUGUAGCUUUCACCCGGGAGUAUUCCAGAGUAUCGAUUUUCCACAGAGAACGUGAGUGUACUAAUUAAGAUCCAAAAUCGCCCAAGGAUAACUAUAUAAUUAUUUUUGGUGGGAAGAGAGGAAGUUUCCUGAGAGUUCUCUAGUUGAUCUAAGAAUCAAGAAUUACUUCAAGAUUAUCUAUAUCGGGACAUCAGAGCACUAACCACAGAAAGAGAUGAGAAGGGGGCUAGAA
rnacentral:lncRNA from 1 species